rnacentral:rRNA from 1 species
AAAGAAGCAGAGGGGGCUUAGUGGUGGGGUGACUGCGUACCUUUUGUAUAAUGGGUCAGCGACUUAUAUUCUGUAGCAAGGUUAACCGAAUAGGGGAGCCGGAGGGAAACCGAGUCUUAACCGGGCGUUAAGUUGCAGGGUAUAGACCCGAAACCCGGUGAUCUAGCCAUGGGCAGGUUGAAGGUUGGGUAACACUAACUGGAGGACCGAACCGACUAAUGUUGAAAAAUUAGCGGAUGACCUGUGGCUGGGGGUGAAAGGCCAAUCAAACCGGGAGAUAGCUGGUUCUCCCCGAAAGCUAUUUAGGUAGCGCCUCGUGAAUUCAUCUCCGGGGGUAGAGCACUGUUUCGGCUAGGGGGCCAUCCCGGCUUACCAACCCGAUGCAAACUGCGAAUACCGGAGAAUGUUAUCACGGGAGACACACGGCGGGUGCUAACGUCCGUCGUGAAGAGGGAAACAACCCAGACCGCCAGCUAAGGUCCCAAAGUCAUGGUUAAGUGGGAAACGAUGUGGGAAGGCCCAGACAGCCAGGAUGUUGGCUUAGAAGCAGCCAUCAUUUAAAGAAAGCGUAAUAGCUCACUGGUCGAGUCGGCCUGCGCGGAAGAUGUAACGGGGCUAAACCAUGCACCGAAGCUGCGGCAGCGACGCUGAUGCGUUGUUGGGUAGGGGAGCGUUCUGUAAGCCUGCGAAGGUGGCCUGUGAGGGUUGCUGGAGGUAUCAGAAGUGCGAAUGCUGACAUAAGUAACGAUAAAGCGGGUGAAAAGCCCGCUCGCCGGAAGACCAAGGGUUCCUGUCCAACGUUAAUCGGGGCAGGGUGAGUCGACCCCUAAGGCGAGGCCGAAAGGCGUAGUCGAUGGGAAACGGGUUAAUAUUCCCGUACUUGGUGUUACUGCGAAGGGGGGACGGAGAAGGCUAUGUUGGCCGGGCGACGGUUGUCCCGGUUUAAGCGUGUAGGUGUGUGUUCCAGGUAAAUCCGGUUCACUUUAACACUGAGGCGUGAUGACGAGGCACUACGGUGCUGAAGCAACAAAUGCCCUGCUUCCAGGAAAAGCCUCUAAGCAUCAGGUAACAUCAAAUCGUACCCCAAACCGACACAGGUGGUCAGGUAGAGAAUACCAAGGCGCUUGAGAGAACUCGGGUGAAGGAACUAGGCAAAAUGGUGCCGUAACUUCGGGAGAAGGCACGCUGACACGUAGGUGAAGUGAUUUACUCAUGGAGCUGAAGUCAGUCGAAGAUACCAGCUGGCUGCAACUGUUUAUUAAAAACACAGCACUGUGCAAACACGAAAGUGGACGUAUACGGUGUGACGCCUGCCCGGUGCCGGAAGGUUAAUUGAUGGGGUCAGCGCAAGCGAAGCUCCUGAUCGAAGCCCCGGUAAACGGCGGCCGUAACUAUAACGGUCCUAAGGUAGCGAAAUUCCUUGUCGGGUAAGUUCCGACCUGCACGAAUGGCGUAAUGAUGGCCAGGCUGUCUCCACCCGAGACUCAGUGAAAUUGAACUCGCUGUGAAGAUGCAGUGUACCCGCGGCAAGACGGAAAGACCCCGUGAACCUUUACUAUAGCUUGACACUGAACAUUGAGCCUUGAUGUGUAGGAUAGGUGGGAGGCUUUGAAGUGUGGACGCCAGUCUGCAUGGAGCCGGCCUUGAAAUACCACCCUUUAAUGUUUGAUGUUCUAACGUGGACCCGUGAUCCGGGUUGCGGACAGUGUCUGGUGGGUAGUUUGACUGGGGCGGUCUCCUCCUAAAGAGUAACGGAGGAGCACGAAGGUUGGCUAAUCCUGGUCGGACAUCAGGAGGUUAGUGCAAUGGCAUAAGCCAGCUUGACUGCGAGCGUGACGGCGCGAGCAGGUGCGAAAGCAGGUCAUAGUGAUCCGGUGGUUCUGAAUGGAAGGGCCAUCGCUCAACGGAUAAAAGGUACUCCGGGGAUAACAGGCUGAUACCGCCCAAGAGUUCAUAUCGACGGCGGUGUUUGGCACCUCGAUGUCGGCUCAUCACAUCCUGGGGCUGAAGUAGGUCCCAAGGGUAUGGCUGUUCGCCAUUUAAAGUGGUACGCGAGCUGGGUUUAGAACGUCGUGAGACAGUUCGGUCCCUAUCUGCCGUGGGCGCUGGAGAACUGAGGGGGGCUGCUCCUAGUACGAGAGGACCGGAGUGGACGCAUCACUGGUGUUCGGGUUGUCAUGCCAAUGGCACUGCCCGGUAGCUAAAUGCGGAAGAGAUAAGUGCUGAAAGCAUCUAAGCACGAAACUUGCCCCGAGAUGAGUUCUCCCUGAGACUUAGAGUCUCCUGAAGGAACGUUGAAGACGACGACGUUGAUAGGCCGGGUGUGUAAGCGCAGCGAUGCGUUGAGCUAACCGGUACUAAUGAACCGUGAGGCUUAACCUUACA